rnacentral:miRNA from 1 species
AAAACAUCUGAUAACCUGAAACGG